rnacentral:lncRNA from 1 species
AUGUCUCUGUGCUCUGAGGCAGAUCCUGUUCCCACUUCUAAUUUACGUGCUCCUCUCCUACUAUCCCAGCAACCCAAUGCAUACCUUGUCAUACUCUGCCACAUCUUCCAUUUAUUCUGGUUGCUGUACCUUCUCUGGGAAAUUUUGAUGCUGUGUCUGGUCUCUUGCUCAGCAGAUUGGACCACAAUGGUGGUAGGAAGGAGAAUCAGAAGGAUCAUCUUAAGGCUUCAGUUACAUAAUGUAGUGCUGCUGUAAAAAUAAUCCAGAUUUGUAGCUUGUAUUUGCAUUCAAUUUCCUGCUCUUACACUUUUUAAUAAAAUGUACAACUUUGUAUGUAGUUCUUUGAAU